rnacentral:rRNA from 1 species
GACGAACGCUGGCGGCGUGCCUAAUACAUGCAAGUAGAACGCUGAAGCGAGGAGCUUGCUCUUCUUGGAUGAGUUGCGAACGGGUGAGUGACGCGUAGGUAACCUGCCUUGUAGCGGGGGAUAACUAUUGGAAACGAUAGCUAAUACCGCAUAACAAUGGAUGACACAUGUCAUUUAUUUGAAAGGGGCAAUUGCUCCACUACAAGAUGGACCUGCGUUGUAUUAGCUAGUAGGUGAGGUAAUGGCUCACCUAGGCGACGAUACAUAGCCGACCUGAGAGGGUGAUCGGCCACAAUGGGACUGAGACAAGGCCCAGACUCCUACGGGAGGCAGCAGUAGGGAAUCUUCGGCAAUGGGGGCAACCCUGACCGAGCAACGCCGCGUGAGUGGAGAAGGGUUUCGGAUCGUAAAGCUCUGUUGUAAGUCAAGAACGGGUGUGAGAGUGGAAAGUUCACACUGUGACGGUAGCUUACCAGAAAGGGACGGCUAACUACGUG